CUUGGUCAUUUUAGGAGGAAGUAAAAGUCGUAACAAGGUUUCCGUAGGUGAGUGGACAAGAGUUCCCUUUGCGCUGCGCGUUUCCCCUGCUAACCUUUGUGACCUAGGUGAACCUGCGGAAGGAUCAUU
rnacentral:rRNA from 1 species